UUUAUACUGAGAUUAGUAAUAUUACUAUUUAUAAUUCACUAUACAUAUUUAUCAACAGUGAAUAUUUCCAAUGCCUAACCACAUGCACACACAGUGGAAAAUACGUCGUGCACGAUACGCUAACGCAAUGUCAGUCGCUGGAAACAUUGUUAGGCUUAUAGACUAAUCAUCAUGCCCAUUGCCUUCUUCCCACCCAAGAAGCACCUGGGCACGUGAGUGAGACUCUGGCAAUGAACAUGGAAGGAGUUAAACCUGAAAAUCCUAUGCUAAAAAUAUGAUUAGUCUAUCUAUUAUAUUUUGUAUCGAACGGGCUAAU
rnacentral:misc_RNA from 1 species